AUACGGAGGAUCCGAGCGUUAUCCGGAUUUAUUGGGUUUAAAGGGUGCGCAGGCGGCCAUUUAAGUCAGCGGUUAAAUCGUGGGGCUCAACCCCAUUCUGCCGUUGAUACUGGGUGGCUUGAUUGCGGUCGAGGUUGGCGGAAUUCGUUGUGUAGCGGUGAAAUGCAUAGAUAUGACGAAGAACACCGAUUGCGUAGGCAGCUGACCAGAUCGCAAAUGACGCUCAUGCACGGAAGUGCGGGGAUCGAACAGGAUUAGAUACCCUGGUAGUCCGCACAGUAAACGAUGAAUACUUGUUUUCGGCGAUAUAAUGUCGGAGGCAAAGCGAAAGCGAUAAGUAUUCCACCUGGGGAGUACGCCGGCAACGGUGAAACUCAAAGGAAUUGACGGGG
rnacentral:rRNA from 1 species